UUCUGACGUGCAAAUCGAUCGUGUGAUCUUGGUAUAGGGGCGAAAGACUAAUCGAACCAUCUAGUAGCUGGUUCCUUCUGAAGUUUCCCUCAGGAUAGCAGGAAUUCAUCUUGGACAGUUUAAUUAGUUAGAGCGAAUGAUUGGAGGUAUGGGAAGUUAUGUGCUUUUCACCUAUUCUCAAACUUCAAAUUGAUUAAUUGGAUGAUUAUCUAUCAUUCAACAAAUGAGAAUUCCUAGUGGGCUUUUUUUGGUAAGCAGAACUGGCGAUGUGGGAUGAACCAAUAACUUGGUUAAAAUGUCUUGGUGGAACUCAUGAGUGACCAUGAAAGGUGUUGAUUGAUACAGACAGCAGGACGGUGGCCAUGGAAGUCGGAAUCCGCUGAGGAGUGUGUAACAACUCACCUGCCGAAUCAAUCAGCCCUGAAAAAGGAUGACACUUGAGAUCUACAUUGAGACCGAGUUGUCAUAAACAUUCAAAUAUUUAUUGGCAAGUAAGAAGGUGUGUUGAUUGCUUUGACUCGUGAAAGUAAUUUUGCAGAGAGCAAUUAGCGGUGCUGAUCUUGGUGGUAGUAGCAAUUUCAAGUGAGCUUCUUGAGGGCCAACGUGGUGAAAGGUUUCCAUGUGAACAGUGAUUGAACGUGGGUGAGUCAGUCCUUAGUAUGAAGCGAAAGCAACAUAUAGAGUAUUACUCUUGGAAUGAGAGGGAGUUGAGUUAAUAUUCCCAAACCCUGAAUGAUUAUCCAACGGUGACGCUGAAGUAAUUUGAAACGUAUGCACUCGACUGGAUGAGAGUUUUCUUCUCUUUUUGACAACAUGAACUCCGUGGCAAUGGCUUUUCGUCACGAAACGGAAUUUGUGUAGACAGAAAUUAGCAGCAUUUGUUAUGUUCCAUGUUUUGUUGCGUCCACUUGAAAAUCAAAUUACGAUAUAUUUCCGGUGUGUACCAAGAACCGCAUCAGGUUCCCAAGGUGAGAAGCCUCUGGUCAUGAACAGUGUAGGUAAGGGAAGUCGGCAUAGUGGAUUUGGACCUUCGGUAUAAGGAUUGGCUCUGUGGACCGGAUUUCAGACACCAGUGUUUUUUCGGUUUGUGUUAUGAUGACGGAGAAUCUUCGGAUGAUCUGUGUUGAUAUCGCUUACAGUUGAGACUCGCGGAUGCAUGAAUCAUUUCACGGUCGGGCACAGAACUGACACUGACAAGGGGAUUCCGACUGUCUAAUUAAAACGAAGCAUUGUGAUGACUGGUAAAACAGUGUAGACCCAAUGUGAUUUCUGCCCAGUGCUCUGAAUGUCAAGGUGAAGAACUUCAAGUAAGCGCGGGUAAACGGCGGGAGUAACUAUGACUCUCUUAAGGUAGCCAAAUGCCUCGUCAUCUAAUUAGUGACGCGCAUGAAUGGAUCAACGAGAUUCCUCCUGUCCCUAUCUACCAUCAGGUGAAACCACAGCUAGGGGAACGGGCCUAGUGUAAUUGGCGGGGAAAGAAGACCCUGUUGAGCUUGACUCUAGUUUGACUCAGUGAAGUGACUCGCGGAGUGUAGCAUAGGUGGGAGCUAGUGCAUCAAUGAAAUACCACUAUCUACGGUGUCACUUUACUCAUCCGUAUAUUAAGCUUGCGCUUCUUCAGUGACAAAGUUUUUCAAUAAAUUAUAUGUCGGAGAAACUGUCAGGUUGGGAGUUUGGCUGGGGCGGUACAUCUGUAAAAAGAUAACGCAGGUGUCCUAAGGUUGACUCAGCGUGGACGGAAACCUCGUGUAGAGCAAAAAGGCUAAAGUCAGCUUGAUGUGAAAUUUCAGUAUGAUUUCAGACUGCGAAAGUGUGGCCUAUCGAUCCUUCUGUAUCAGAGUGUAUGAGCAAGAGGUGUCAGAAAAGUUACCACAGGGAUAACUGGCUCGUGGCAGCCAAGCGUUCAUAGCGACGUUGCUUUUUGAUCCUUCGAUGUCGGCUCUUCCUAUCAUUGCGAAGCAGAAUUCGCAAAGUGUUGGAUUGUUCACCCACUAACAGGGAACGUGAGCUGGGUUUAGACCGUCGUGAGACAGGUUAGUUUUACCCUACUGAUGACUAUUAUAGAUGCGAUGAAAGAAUCUCUAUUCAGUACGAGAGGAACUGUGGAAACGGACAGCUGGUUUCGUGAAUUGAUCGAACUACAAUC
rnacentral:rRNA from 1 species